GACGGGUGAGUAACACGUGGGCAACCUGCCCAUUAGACUGGGAUAACUCCGGGAAACCGGAGCUAAUACCGGAUAAUCCCUUUCUCCACCUGGAGAGAGGGUGAAAGAUGGCUUCGGCUAUCACUAGGGGAUGGGCCCGCGGCGCAUUAGCUAGUUGGUAAGGUAACGGCUUACCAAGGCGACGAUGCGUAGCCGACCUGAGAGGGUGAUCGGCCACACUGGGACUGAGACACGGCCCAGACUCCUACGGGAGGCAGCAGUAGGGAAUCUUCCGCAAUGGACGAAAGUCUGACGGAGCAACGCCGCGUGAGUGAGGAAGGCCUUCGGGUCGUAAAGCUCUGUUGUGAGGGAAGAAGCGGUACCGUUCGAAUAGGGCGGUACCUUGACGGUACCUCACCAGAAAGCCACGGCUAACUACGUGCCAGCAGCCGCGGUAAUACGUAGGUGGCAAGCGUUGUCCGGAAUUAUUGGGCGUAAAGCGCGCGCAGGCGGCUUCUUAAGUCUGAUGUGAAAUCUCGGGGCUCAACCCCGAGCGGCCAUUGGAAACUGGGGAGCUUGAGUGCAGAAGAGGAGAGUGGAAUUCCACGUGUAGCGGUGAAAUGCGUAGAGAUGUGGAGGAACACCAGUGGCGAAGGCGACUCUCUGGUCUGUAACUGACGCUGAGGCGCGAAAGCGUGGGGAGCAAACAGGAUUAGAUACCCUGGUAGUCCACGCCGUAAACGAUGAGUGCUAGGUGUUAGGGGUUUCGAUGCCCGUAGUGCCGAAGUAACACAUAAGC
rnacentral:rRNA from 2 species